GCAGAGAGGGCACUUCUGCUGCCCGCUCCACUCCGAGGCCUGUCCGUCAGCCUGCAGUGCGCGCUGUUGUCGGAGGGAGGCAGUGUGCCGGAUGUGUUACAGCGUGUCUGUGAGCCAGCCGCGACAGAGCGAAGCUGUAAUAGAAAAGCUGAGGAUGUGAUGGGGAGCAGUGGCUCUACAGUUCUUGCUGCUGCGAUGGUGCAUGUGGUGUCGCAGACGACGCUUCAGUCCAACUCGGUUUUCCUCUUGACCUGACUUUCUGCACUGAGGCAGCAGUAAACGGUUUCUGCUGCCACAACUGAUCAUGUCCUGAUCCAAGGUUUCAACUGCAGUAAUGAAGGUGAGGAUUGGCCCAAAGGACAAAAGGGGCUGGAGCCUUGGUCCUUCCUUACUAAUGUCUGUGGAAAUGUGUUUUUGCACAGAGUAAGAACAAGUGCAUAUGCAGAUUCUCUUGUUUCUAAUGCUGUUUAUCUUGUGUAACUAAAAUAAUUUUGUAUCAGCAGGUUGUGCCAAAAUGUUGCUGCCACACCUCAUUCCCCUGUAAGUGUCAACAUGUUUCCCACGAGGUGCAAGUGACAAACCCUCUAUUGUUAGGAGGAAGCAGCAGACUGUCCAACUGAAGACGCUGAAAUAAAUCAAGUUCAAGUAAGAAAUUGACUGGUGCUUGAUGUAGUCGUGCAUAUCAUUUAUGCUCUGUAGUAUGCUGAGGUCUAUCCCGACAGACCUUUCUCUGUAGGGCCGUGUUGUUGGAAAUGCCUCACAAAGUAAAUCUGUUUCGCUUUACCCACAUGUUCACUGCCAUGAACGUUGUGAGAUACUGAUGCAGAACAAGUGUCUGUCAAAUAUUACCAACUGCUCCAUAGAUUUUCUAUUCUGUCAUUGUUUACAAGUCUUAUCAGUGGACUGUUUUCAUAUCACUGGUUAGGGUGGACCACACAGAUAAACAUGGAUAGGAGUAAUCGGUAUAGUGUGAGUACCGUGAGGUUCUGUGCAUACCACGAGCCUGCUUUAACAGAGUUUCUUUUUUUUAAAUUUAAUAUUUUUUUAAAUGAAUGAUCUCUGAAAAUCCCUGAACUCUAUAAAACUCACAACAUGAGGUUUUCAGCAACAUUUGGAAAUUUUAAAAAGAGGGAGAGAUCUGGAGCAAAGAGGCAGAGCAGUUACCGCGACGAUGAGCUCAGGUGGCAUGGAGGAAUUCUUUCCGAGCAUCAAAAACAGCAGCACUUGUUACCGUAAUCAACAUUAAAACUUCCUGUUCAACAAGCUCCAGUAUGAGGAAAAGCCAGCUGCUCGCAUGCAAAGUGACAGCAGUGAAAAUGAAAUGUGCAGGUGAACAAUUAACUUUAGACUUGACAGUUAACUGAAGCCUGCAGCAAGCAGGCCUGGGUCUAAAGACGGUCUUCAUUAGAACAUGACAGGACACGCUCCAAUAAUUUAAUAAACUCUCCAUAUUACUGUGAAGCACUUUGGUGUGCCUUCGGGUUUUUAAAUGUGCUAUAUAAAUAAAAUUGUAUUGUAAACCCAUGUGUUUCAGAAUCUGAAGGCUGUCCUGCCUGCAUGGAAAGGACUGCAGCUGAUCGCUGAGUGGAUCAGUGAUUCCUGAGAGGAGACUGUUCUCCAGGCUGACGCUGGCUUUGGAGGAAACGUGUUGUAACCUUUGCAAAUGAGGAUUUAAUAAAGGAUGUCGUGUUACAGCAAACCUUGACUUGGCACUUGUGUUUGGACCUUGUUUAAGUCUUUGGCUUGCAGAAACAAGGUCAAUGAAUACUUGGUGGUAAUACAUUUUAAAGCUCCGUACUUCAUGAUGAUUUUGGGACAUGGAUGUCUGAGGGUUGAUGUUUACACGUGUUCCAGAACCUACUGAGGGACGUGGGGAUUUUUAUUUUAUCACUGACUAUUUUUAAAGAAAAGAUCAAGGUUUUAUUUUUAAAAUCUUGCCUUGUCAUAGAUUUAAUUCCUGCACUGUCCUAUUAAACUUGAGACUAGCACUCACUGAUA
ensembl:lncRNA